UACAGAGGUCCCAAGCGUUGUUCGGAUUCAUUGGGCGUAAAGGGUGCGUAGGUGGUGAGGUAAGUCGGAUGUGAAAUCUCCAAGCUCAACUUGGAAAUGGCAUUGGAAACUACCUUGCUGGAGGUUUGGAGGGGGGACUGGAAUUCUCGGUGUAGCAGUGAAAUGCGUAGAUAUCGGGAGGAACACCAGUGGCGAAGGCGAGUCCCUGGACAAAACCUGACGCUGAGGCACGAAAGCUAGGGGAGCAAACAGG
rnacentral:rRNA from 1 species